rnacentral:misc_RNA from 1 species
CCGAGUUUACAACUCCCAAACCCCUGUGAACAUACCUAUCGUUGCUUCGGCGGGAUGCCCCUAGUUUGACGCAAGCUGGACCCAGGCGCCCGCCGGUAGGACCCAAACUCUUGUUUUAUUUAUGUAUCCUUCUGAGUAACAAAAGCAAAUAAAUA